AGACAUAAGGAAAUGGGGUACAGAAAGGAAGAAAGAUAGGCACAGGGGUAACAUCUUAGAGUGUAUCCGGAUCCAUUGUCAUCCUGCUAGAGUAUGGGCAUAAAACAAUCAGGUAUAUAGUGCUAGCAGUGGUGUUAUCCUGGCAUGUUACAUUCACAGUAUAUCCAUCUGAGUAUUAGCUGCCGCUAUCUCCAAGCAGGAUGAACCUCAAGCACUGAGUCUUAUCUAAAGCCUUCCUACUAAUUUAGCUGGCUGCAAACCCAAGUUAUCAGCGGCGUCUUCAGUAGUUCUUGUUUAAGUUACCUGUGGAGGGUGUUUGCCCUUUGUUAAUCCCAGAACUAGGAGUAGG